UACGUAUGGUGCGAGCGUUGUCCGGAAUUAUUGGGCGUAAAGAGCUUGUAGGCGGUUUGUCGCGUCUGCCGUGAAAGCCCAGGGCUUAACCCUGGGUCUGCGGUGGGUACGGGCAGACUAGAGUGUGGUAGGGGAGACUGGAAUUCCUGGUGUAGCGGUGAAAUGCGCAGAUAUCAGGAGGAACACCGGUGGCGAAGGCGGGUCUCUGGGCAACAACUGACGCUGAGGAGCGAAAGCGUGGGGAGCGAACAGG
rnacentral:rRNA from 1 species